rnacentral:rRNA from 1 species
CCUACGGGAGGCAGCAGUGAGGAAUAUUGGUCAAUGGCCGGAAGGCUGAACCAGCCAUGCCGCGUGAAGGUCAGUGCCCUAUGGGCGUUAAACUUCUUUUGUGCGGGAGCAAUAAUGGUCACGUGUGGCCAGACGAGAGUACCGUACGAAUAAGCAUCGGCUAACUCCGUGCCAGCAGCCGCGGUAAUACGGGGGAUGCAAGCGUUAUCCGGAUUUAUUGGGUUUAAAGGGUGCGUAGGCUGUGAGGUAAGUCAGCGGUGAAAUGCCCCCGCUCAACGGGGUGAAGUGCCAUUGAUACUGCCUGGCUGGAAUGCGGAUGCCGUGGGAGGAAUGUGUGGUGUAGCGGUGAAAUGCAUAGAUAUCACACAGAACACCGAUUGCGAAGGCAUCUCACGAAGCCGCGAUUGACGCUGAUGCACGAAAGCGUUGGUAUCAAACAGGAUUAGAUACCCUAGUAGUC